UGUCACCAUUACAGAGAGAUUGUCACCACAACGUCUUUGCUAGUCAACCUGGGAGAUUACUUGUAGGUUUUAUGGUGGAGGAUUAUGUGUUGCCUAUUAUGCAUCUCUAAUUAUUAUUGCCUGACAGAGAAAAUAACUCAUAUUGAGUUAAAAAUCAUUCUUAAUAUGAAAAAUUUCAAGAGUCAAUUCAUUUGGAUCAACUCAUCCUUUCCUAAUGAGGUUUCCCAGAGCCCUGAGUGACUCUCAGCGGACUCUGCUCCAUACACGACAGACCACUGUCCACUCGCCUGGCUGCACAAACUCGCAUCCAACACAGCUCCUCUGAUUGGUGGGUCAUCCCUGUUGAAACCCCG